AACCAUAGAAACCUGCGGAGUACCUGCGGAAGGAUCAUUACCGAGUUUACAACUCCCAAACCCCUGUGAACAUACCACUUGUUGCCUCGGCGGAUCAGCCCGCUCCCGGUAAAACGGGACGGCCCGCCAGAGGACCCCUAAACUCUGUUUCUAUAUGUAACUUCUGAGUAAAACCAUAAAUAAAUCAAAACUUUUAACAAUGGAUCU
rnacentral:misc_RNA from 1 species